rnacentral:rRNA from 1 species
UACUUAGGGUGCGAGCGUUAAUCGGAAUUACUGGGCGUAAAGCGCACGUAGGUGGCGACGUAAGUCGGGUGUGAAAGCCCCGGGCUCAACCUGGGAAUUGCAUUCGAGACUGCAUUGCUGGAGUACGGAAGAGGAGGGCGGAAUUCCCGGUGUAGCGGUGAAAUGCGUAGAUAUCGGGAGGAACAUCAGUGGCGAAGGCGGCCCUCUGGUCCAGUACUGACACUCAAGUGCGAAAGCGUGGGGAGCAAACAGG